rnacentral:rRNA from 1 species
CGUCUCAGUUCGGAUUGCAGGCUGCAACUCGCCUGCAUGAAGUCGGAAUUGCUAGUAAUCGCGGAUCAGCAUGCCGCGGUGAAUACGUUCCCGGGCCUUGUACACACCGCCCGUCACACCAUGAGAGCCGGGAACACCCGAAGUCCGUAGUCUAACCAUUAAGGAGGACGCGGCCGAAGGUGGGUUUGGUAAUUGGGGUGAAGUCGUAACAAGGUACC